rnacentral:ncRNA from 1 species
UUAGAGUUUGAUUUUUGCUCAUUUAAUUUAUAUAAUAGAUAAAAUAUAUAUGAAAGCUCUUACAUAUAAAACAAUUUAUUACUCAAAGUUAUAAAUAUUAUCAAACUAUUGUAUACUUCAAUAUAUAAUAUUAAAUAAAUUAAAUAAACUUAGAUUUAAUAUCUAUUACAUCUCUGGUUAAUUUUUGUGCCAGCCACCGCGGUUAUACUUAAAGAGAUAUAAAUUAUAUAAGUUUUAUAGUAUAUUAAAAUUCAAUAAUUUAAUAUUUUUAUUAAUAUAAAAGGUAAAAUUAAAUAUAUUUUUAAAAAUUAUUAAACAAAAUUAUUUAUAUAAUUCUAUAAAAAUAAAAACAUAAACUAGGAUUAGAUACCCUACUAUUUUUAUAUAUAAUCCAAACUAGAAAACUAAAUGAUAAUUUUCCCUAAAUUCAAAAAAUUUGGCGGUAUUCUAAUCUAAUUAGAGGAACCUGUUUUAUAAAUGAUAAACCACGAAAUAUCUUACUUAUUUUAAUCAGUUUGUAUACCGUCAUUAUUAAAUAACUUAUAAAUAAAUAGUUGUUUCAAAUAAUAAUUUUAUUAAAUAUAUUAGAUCAAGGUGCAACAAAUAAAUAAGAAAAAAUGUGUUACAAUAAAAUUAAUUUAUAGCGAAUUUAUUAAAAGAAUAUAUAAUAUGAAGAUGGAUUUAAUAGUAAGAUUUUUAUUUAAUAAGGAAAUCUGAUAUCAGCAAUAGAAUAUGUACAUAUCGCCCGUCACUCUCAUUAAAGAAAGAUGAGAUAAGUCGUAACAUAGUAGGUGUACCGGAAGGUGUACCUAGAUUUCA